GAUGAACGCUGGCGGCGUGCCUAAUACAUGCAAGUCGAGCGAACAGACGAGGAGCUUGCUCCUCUGACGUUAGCGGCGGACGGGUGAGUAACACGUGGAUAACCUACCUAUAAGACUGGGAUAACUUCGGGAAACCGGAGCUAAUACCGGAUAAUAUAUUGAACCGCAUGGUUCAAUAGUGAAAGACGGUUUUGCUGUCACUUAUAGAUGGAUCCGCGCCGCAUUAGCUAGUUGGUAAGGUAACGGCUUACCAAGGCAACGAUGCGUAGCCGACCUGAGAGGGUGAUCGGCCACACUGGAACUGAGACACGGUCCAGACUCCUACGGGAGGCAGCAGUAGGGAAUCUUCCGCAAAGGGCGAAAGCCUGACGGAGCAACGCCGCGUGAGUGAUGAAGGUCUUCGGAUCCUAAAACUCUGUUAUUAGGGAAGAACAAAUGUGUAAGUAACUAUGCACGUCUUGACGGUACCUAAUCAGAAAGCCACGGCUAACUACGUG
rnacentral:rRNA from 1 species